rnacentral:lncRNA from 1 species
AUGAUAAUAGAAAAAAGGUUUAAAGAUAUAACUUCAGUGUCUUAUUUCAUUGUCCUAGAUGCAGACCCACCAUCAGAUGUGCUGAUUUUAGGACAAGAAGAAGAUACAGUAUAUUUGUCUUGGAAACUCCCACAUGGAGGCUUUGAAAAGUCUCAGAUAUCCUAUUGUAUGACAUCUAGAAAGGAAAAGCUGUUUAAAGCAAUUGUUUAUGGCACCAAAGCCAAAGCAAAGAAUUUGACUCCGGGGAUGGACUACGUGUUCCAUGUGAAGACAGUUAGAGACAAAGAUUACAGUGUAUCUGUAGUGAAAAAAGUGGCUACAAAACCAUCUAGGUUAUGUGGCUUAACCUUGAAAGCUGUGAAUACAUCUUCUGCAAAUUUAAUGUGGAAUGCAGCAGAGACCAACUUCACUCAUUACAUGAUUUAUAUAUCAAACAGAACAUUUGCAAAAGAAUAUCUUAUUUGGGGAAGGAUGACGGAGCACAGAGUUACAGAUCUGACUCCAGGUGGAAUGUAUAACAUCACAGUUCAUCGAGUGAGAGGAGGUGUUGAAGGAUCUGGCACAUUUAUCAGUGUCAUUGCAGAACCAGAAAAACGCAAGAAACGUAAAGCCUUACGUAUUUCUGCACCUUCCUUUUCUCUGCACUGGAGCCUUCCCUCUGGCCACGUGGAUCUUGUUCCUGACAGUGGCUUUGUUACUAUCACACUUCUCGGAGGUGGAGAGUAUCAGGUAUAG